rnacentral:rRNA from 1 species
CCUACGGGUGGCAGCAGUGGGGAAUUGUUCGCAAUGGGCGCAAGCCUGACGACGCAACGCCGCGUGGAGGAUGAAGGUCUUCGGAUUGUAAACUCCUGUUGCCCGGGACGAAUAGCUCCAACCUAAUACGUUGGAGUAUGACGGUACCGGGUGAGGAAGCCCCGGCUAACUCUGUGCCAGCAGCCGCGGUAAUACAGAGGGGGCAAGCGUUGUUCGGAAUUACUGGGCGUAAAGGGCGCGUAGGCGGCCUGUUAAGUCGAACGUGAAAUCCCCGGGCUCAACCCGGGAACUGCGUCCGAUACUGGCAGGCUUGAAUCCGGGAGAGGGAUGCGGAAUUCCAGGUGUAGCGGUGAAAUGCGUAGAUAUCUGGAGGAACACCGGUGGCGAAGGCGGCAUCCUGGACCGGCAUUGACGCUGAGGCGCGAAAGCUAGGGGAGCAAACGGGAUUAGAUACCCCAGUAGUC